rnacentral:lncRNA from 1 species
UGUCAUUAAUAGUGCAUUGAUAUCAACAUUUUUAAUGGUUGUAUAUCGUCCAAUUGUAUGAGUGGCUAUAUGGGUCCCAAAUUGUUGGGUAGGCAUUUAUUUAUUUGCUAUUUAAUGAAAACACUAGGGUGAACUUCUGUGCAUGCACAUUUUGGGGACACUUGUCUAACUAUCUCCUUGGUACGGGGUCCUAGAAGGAGAACUUGCUGGUCACAGGUUAAAUGGGUCCUGAGUUGACCUACGGACAGAUUGUACCUGUGGACACUCCAUGCUGAUUUUCCAAGGGCACCUAAUCAAAAGCUUUAGAUGACUCCAGUUAUAUUUGGCAGGAGACAUCAGACGACUGCCCUCCACUAAAAUCUGGGCAGUCUAAAUGAACAUUUUGCAAAGGGGCAGGAGGGAAAAGAGGAAGCAGAAAAGAGGUGUCCACUUUUUUCUGAUCUCCCAUCUGCUGCUGGGACAAGCCAUGUGCUCUGAGCAGCUAGCUAAAACGAAACUUGACGAUCAUCUGGGGCUACUUUUAGGCCCACAAAACAAGGCUGACUUGGGGUAGAGUGCCGGUGUGAGUACUAGUGGCUUCUGGGGCUGAGUAACAGGGUGCUCCCUAUCUCAAAUCCAGUUUCCUCUGUCUGCAACCGAUGUAAGUAAAUUCAGAUGCACAAUGAGCGCUGUCUCAGGCUCCCCCAGCCAGGCCUGAUUCAAUGAGCAGGGCUCCAGCCUGGAGUCGGGGCGCUGAACAAAGCCCACGAUGACAGCAGAGGUCAGGCGGUGUCACCAAGGCCACUCAGCUGCUCUCCAUCAGCCUCCGGAGCAGGGGCCCAGGUCCUGUCAUCUGACUAAUGCAAUUUCCACCAGGCAUCUGGGCAGCACCCGAGGCUCUGGCAGUCACAAUGAGUCCAGUCUUUUCUGCCAAAUGAAGCUGGUCUGUAGGCCACCGAGCCUUUGCCCACUACCCUCCCAGGAUUGGCUGCUCUCUCUGGCGGCUCUGGAAGAUGAGCCCCAGUCACACUUUUGGAAAAUGGUUGAUGAUCAAAAUCAGAGGCAGGGGGAGCAAACAGGAGAGAGGUUUAGAGCUGUCAGCUUGAACCAUAGCUGGAAGCUGGAUGAGGGGGCAUGUGUUCCAGUAAUGCACUAACCUUGUUUGAGUAGACAACAUCCCAUAAUACACUGGGAGGAGUAGCAGUCGUACAAAGGUUCUGAUUUGCAAUACGGUGGGAUGAGGAGAGGAGAGCGAUAUUUAAGCAGAAAAAUCUGGCCAUGUUGCUGGGAGACCUCCCACACAGGCAAAAUCCUGCACUUGGGUGGGGCAGCGCUUUGGUUUCUGUUCACUAUUUUCUUGCUGUAAAUAUAACCAGCCUUGCUCCUACUUUACGGAGCCAGUUGAAACACAGCUUUCUUCCCAUCUCCCUGUCACUGCUUUCCUCCUGUCCCAAUUGAGCAAAACAGUAGAUUGUAGGGAAUUUAUCUGAUCCCCAUGACAAUCUGCUUGUAAAUUUUAUUAAUUUUAUUUUCCAUUGAGCUUCCCUUCUCCGGCUAACAAUACUGCUGCCAUCCAUCUGCAGGACUGUAUAUUGAUUUCAUAAAUACCUCCAGUGGGCUGACAAACUGACAGCUUCAAUGGUGUUACUGAUGGGGCGUGGAGGAGGGUUCAGGGCUGGGCGCUUCAUUUUCGGUAACAGUCCCUUCACAAUUAUCGCAGGGCCUUUGUGAGAGUUCCUAAUAGUGUGUUUAUCUCUACGUGGUGCCAGAGCAUGGAGCUAUCAUUAAGUACUAUCCUCGAGAGAGACAAGAGCCACCAUUUUCCACUGACACUUAAAUAAAAAUAACAAAAUCUAUCCACGAUGCCCAAGAGCCUAGCGCUGGCCAAUUUCCUGUUGGGGUUUUAGUGUCUCCCCUUUCACGAGGGAAGCAGCUCAGGGCUGAGGAGGGCAGACAUGCUCAGAAGUGACCUGAGAAGGGGAUUUUUGUUUUUCUAAACACUAGAAGAAAGGCAUGAGAUUGGAGUAGGGUGCAGGAGUGGGAGGUGUGCAGUAUUUUUCUGGAAAGCCACUCAGGAGCCCGGGGAGGCUGACCUAGAAGGGUAAGAGUCCAUGGAUGGUUACACCCUCCCCUGGGAGCCAGAGACGUGGCAGAAGAAAACCAAGCACUUUGUCCUUGGACUCCUUCAAGCUUGGAGGGGAGACUGGUUGCUGGGAUUAGGACAUUCCUGGUGUUCCAAAGAUUGCAAACUCAGAUGCUUCAGGGUUGUGCAGGUAAAGUAAAUGAGGAAGUCGGGCUGCAUGUGGACAACAGGAAUAGUCAGAAAGCGAGCUGGGGAUGUUAUUUCAACAAAAUCAAAACCAAAUAACUCUCUGUGCCAGCCAAUUGGAUGCUUCACCCUGGGAAGAACUUGGCCUGCAGGCUCAGAUUUGUGACCAGUGAGGAUGCAGAGACUGUCACCUCCUCAGGGGCGAUCUGCUAAUUCUAGAAUGGCGCUGUCCCACGGAAAUAUAUCACAAGCCAAGAAUGCAAUUUAAAAUUUUCUAUUAGCCAUAUUAAAAACAGUAAAAAGAAACAGUUGAAAUUAAUUUUAAUAUGAUAUUUAACUCAAUAUAUCCAAAAGAUUGCCAUUUCAAGAUGUAAUCAAUAUAAACAUUUAUUAAUGA